AUACGGAGGGUGCAAGCGUUGUCCGGAUUUAUUGGGUUUAAAGGGUGCGUAGGUGGUUUUUUAAGUCAGUGGUGAAAGCCUACAGCUUAACUGUAGAGGUGCCAUUGAAACUGGGGAACUUGAGUAUGGACGAGGUAGGCGGAAUUUGUGGUGUAGCGGUGAAAUGCAUAGAUACCACAAAGAACACCGAUAGCGAAGGCAGCUUACUAGGCCAUAACUGACACUGAGGCACGAAAGUGUGGGGAGCGAACAGGAUUAGAAACCCGGGUAGUCC
rnacentral:rRNA from 1 species